AGCCAAUUUGUUGUUUUUAUUGAAGGAAAGCUAGCAAAAUAUUUUGUAAUUGACGAUGGAUAAAAUUAGCUGGAGAGGAAAUGAUGAUGGCAUAGUUUGUUUGACCCAAAAAGGGAAAGGAGAAAAAAAAAUAAAUAAAGGAAAAACAAAAAAGAAAACCCAAUUUACCCAUCGACCAAGGUGCCAUUUCAAGUUCUUUGCAAGGUGGUAUGAAUAUAAUAAAUGCUUCCUCAACCCAAAACCCAAUGGGAAGUAUCAUGCAGUUGGCAACAAAACAAACAGACGACACAUCACAGGGCAUGCUUGGACAUGGAAAUAACACUACAGGUUCAGUCCAUGAAAAUUUUAUGUCAAAAAACACUUCAACUGACUCACCUUUUGGUAGUCGUAUAGAAAAGAUUAUCAACAGUUUUCUGCAGAAUCCUGUUUUGAAAGGAGAGGAAAACGAGACAAAUGAAGUGGUAUGUCAAAGAUGGAACAUGUUUAUUUGUCUAUCUGUUUUGUUCUUUAUCUCAGUUUUCCACUUUCUUUAAAAGGUUUUCCCUCAACAUUAUCUUUUGUAAUCAUGCUUUGUUGUCCAUCACUCCAGAACCUUCUUCAGUCUAGAAUUGCAUUGCGCAAUUUUAUGGCAUGUUUAUUAGUUUGUAUUCUUCAUUUGCCAAUAGUCUCUAGAUAAACAUUGCAAAGGGAUUAAUUCUUUUUAAAAUGUUUAAGAAGCAUCUGAUACGAAAGAUCAAUUGUCUUUUAAAUGUAUUCAAGUUGCUGCAGCCUUACAAAGGAACAAGGAGGCAUUUUUUAAUUAGUUUCAACCACCAAUUAUUAAGUGCUUUGUUUGAUUUUGAUUCCAAGAACAAUCAAUUUUCUAGAAUUUAGAGUAUUUUAUUCAUGUUUGCACUCUGCCCUGAGAUUACAUAAUUUUGUAUUUUAAGUAUUUUAGUAUCAUUUUCUUGUAAAAUUAUGCGAUGUCUCUGAAUGGUUUUGUGUGCUGGUUAUAUUUGUUCUCUAAUGAAACAUGAAAUUCUAAUUAUUGAAUUUUCUUUCGGUAGGCUGGGCGGUUGAGGUCAGAGAACAACUUGCUUCACAUGAGAACGAAGAAGAUUGAAAGAUGGAGCACCCAGAAUCAGAGAACGAAGAAGAAGAAGAAGAAGCAUAAGAAUUUUUUUCUACACAUUUGUACUCCCAGGUUGAAGAAGAAGAAGCAAAAAAAUGGCAAAAAAAAAAAAAAAAAAAACAAUGCCAGAUCGAAGAGAAGAACGAAGAAGAAGACAUUUUUUCCUCCACAUUUGUACACCAGAUCGAAAAUAAAAUUGCAAAAAAAAACAAAUUGCCAGAUCGAAGAACAAGACAAACGAAGAAAAA